UACGUAGGGUGCAAGCGUUAAUCGGAAUUACUGGGCGUAAAGCGCGCGUAGGCGGCUUUGCAAGUCGGGUGUGAAAUCCCCAGGCUUAACCUGGGAACGGCAUUCGAGACUGCAUUGCUAGAGUAUGGGAGAGGGAAGUGGAAUUUCAGGUGUAGCGGUGAAAUGCGUAGAUAUCUGAAGGAACAUCAGUGGCGAAAGCGACUUCCUGGACCAAUACUGACGCUCAUGUGCGAAAGCGUGGGGAGCAAACAGG
rnacentral:rRNA from 1 species